CUGGAUAAACGGGCCUCGAUCCCGUAAGCUUUUAAUUAACAGUUAAACA
rnacentral:tRNA from 1 species